UACGGAGACUGCGAGCGUUACUCGGAUUCACUGGGCGUAAAGGGUGCGUAGGCGGACAGAUGUGUCAGGUGUGAAAGCCCAGAGCUCAACUCUGGAACUGCGCCUGAAACUAUUUGUCUAGAGUAUCGGAGAGGUAAGCGGAAUUCCUAGUGUAGCGGUGAAAUGCGUAGAUAUUAGGAGGAACACCAAAGGCGAAGGCA
rnacentral:rRNA from 1 species